rnacentral:rRNA from 1 species
UACGAAGGGGGCUAGCGUUGCUCGGAAUGACUGGGCGUAAAGGGCGCGUAGGCGGUUUGGACAGUCAGAUGUGAAAUUCCUGGGCUCAACCUGGGGGCUGCAUUUGAUACGUUCGGACUAGAGUGGGGAAGAGGGUCGUGGAAUUCCCAGUGUAGAGGUGAAAUUCGUAGAUAUUGGGAAGAACACCGGUGGCGAAGGCGGCUCACUGGCCCGGUACUGACGCUGAGGCGCGAAAGCGUGGGGAGCAAACAGG